rnacentral:rRNA from 1 species
GAUGAACGCUGGCGGCGUGCCUAAUACAUGCAAGUCGAGCGAACAGACGAGGAGCUUGCUCCUCUGACGUUAGCGGCGGACGGGUGAGUAACACGUGGAUAACCUACCUAUAAGACUGGGAUAACUUCGGGAAACCGGAGCUAAUACCGGAUAAUAUAUUGAACCGCAUGGUUCAAUAGUGAAAGACGGUUUUGCUGUCACUUAUAGAUGGAUCCGCGCCGCAUUAGCUAGUUGGUAAGGUAACGGCUUACCAAGGCAACGAUGCGUAGCCGACCUGAGAGGGGGAUCGGCCACACUGGAACUGAGACACGGUCCAGACGCCUACGGGAGGCAGCAGUAGGGAAUCUUCCGCAAGGGGCGAAAGCCUGACGGAGCAACGCCGCGGGAGUGAUGAAGGUCUUCGGAUCGUAAAACUCUGUUAUUAGGGAAGAACAAAUGUGUAAGUAACUAUGCACGUCUUGACGGUACCGAAUCAGAAAGCCACGGCUAACUACGU